UCCGGUUUGUCACCGGCAGUCUCCUAUGAGUCCCCAACUUAAUGCUGGCAACAUAGGACAGGGGUUGCGCUCGUUGCGGGACUUAACCCAACAUCUCACGACACGAGCUGACGACGGCCAUGCAGCACCUGUGCACGGGCUCCGAAGAGCCCCGCAGGUUUCCCCACGAGUUCCCGUGCAUGUCAAGCCCAGGUAAGGUUCUUCGCGUUGCGUCGAAUUAAACCACAUGCUCCACCGCUUGUGCAGGCCCCCGUCAAUUUCUUUGAGUUUUAGCCUUGCGGCCGUACUCCCCAGGCGGAUGACUUAAUGCGUUAGCUGCGCCACCGAAAGCCCAUGGCCCCCGACAGCUAGUCAUCAUCGUUUACGGCGUGGACUAC
rnacentral:misc_RNA from 1 species